AGAAUGUUGCUUGAGAAUUCCACCCCCAAGGGGUAAAUGAAGUUUAAAUUUCCUUUAAUAACUUUAAUUUCGUUCUGCGGUAAUGUGGCAAAUAUACUUAGCCAUAUUGUAAAUCAAAGACAAAUAGUCAAAAUGUUUACCAUUAUAAACUUAGUGCUUCUCUUUGAAAUCACUGAAGUAACUGCUCACAACGGACUGAGCGAGCAAAUGCCUUUCUAAAUGAAGGCCAAGAAUCAAACAAAAAAUUAGAAGGUACAGAAAUAAUCGACAGCCAGGACAGGAUCAUUUUUUGUGCUUAUUCUUUUGGUUCUUUUUUAACAUUUCCUUAGGUAAAUAUUAUUUUCUCUGUUUUCAGGUUUAGACUUUAUUGAGCCAUUAAUGAGAAAACAGGGUAAAGACUUGCACUACAUCUGAAGUGAAAAAAAAAUGUCUUGCUAUUCUGUUCCAUAGCCCUGCGUUCCUGCAGGUUUCAGAUCUUUAUUUUUAGAAGAAACGUCAGCCUCCCUUCUCCAACAUCCAGCACAGGGCACUGAUGAGCAGCAACACAGAAUCCUUCAGCAAUUUAUUGAGGCAGAGAAGUGGUGUGCUGAGAAUGAAUCUGUGUUCAGGGGGCACAUCUCACUCCCUUCAUUACUGUCAAUGGACAAAGAUGACAUUGAGGAAUCCAUUCAGAAAUUUGAUUUGCUAUCUGAAUUUCCAGAAGAAGAGGAGAGGGAGUAUGUCUUUACACCCUUCAUCAUUCUUUUUUUCACAUAUGAAAGCCAUGCAUCUGUUUUUAGAUAACGUGAGAGGAAAAAGGAAAAUGACUGUGUUUUGUGAGAAAAUGUAACAAACAUACAUGUCCCUCAUUGUUCAGUUACAACCUACAAUUCUUGUUCUAUAUUUUAUAUAUUCUUUAACUUUAUUGUAAUAAAUGUUGCAAACCAACUUCAUCUUUACAGUC